GACGAACGCUGGCGGCGUGCUUAACACAUGCAAGUCGAACGGAAAGGCCCUGCUUUUGUGGGGUGCUCGAGUGGCGAACGGGUGAGUAACACGUGAGUAACCUGCCCUUGACUUUGGGAUAACUUCAGGAAACUGGGGCUAAUACCGGAUAGGAGCUCCUGCUGCAUGGUGGGGGUUGGAAAGUUUCGGCGGUUGGGGAUGGACGCGCGGCUUAUCAGCUUGUUGGUGGGGUAGUGGCUUACCAAGGCUUUGACGGGUAGCCGGCCUGAGAGGGUGACCGGCCACAUUGGGACUGAGGUACGGCCCAGACUCCUACGGGAGGCAGCAGUGGGGAAUAUUGCACAAUGGGCGGAAGCCUGAGGCAGCAACGCCGCGUGCGGGAUGACGGCCUUCGGGUUGUAAACCGCUUUCGCCUGUGACGAAGCGUGAGUGACGGUAAUGGGUAAAGAAGCACCGGCUAACUACGUG
rnacentral:rRNA from 1 species